GGGGCUGUGGCUCAGUGGUAGAGCACUUGUCUUGCACCUGUGAGGCCCUGGGUUCCAUUCUCAGCACCA
rnacentral:tRNA from 1 species